GCGUAAAUGUGUCUCGAUUCUCCUUGGGAGGUCUCACGACGUGAUAGCGGCGCCCGACUCUCGAAAUUGUGGUACCCUGUAACGUCCUGAGACUUCCUGCGGGGAUCUGUCGACCCACUUUGUCCU